AACGAACGCUGGCGGCAGGCCUAACACAUGCAAGUCGAACGCCCCGCAAGGGGAGUGGCAGACGGGUGAGUAACGCGUGGGAACCUACCUAGUGGUACGGAAUAACUCCGGGAAACCGGUGCUAAUACCGUAUACGCCCUUUGGGGGAAAGAUUUAUCGCCAUUAGAUGGGCCCGCGUCGGAUUAGCUAGUUGGUGAGGUAAAGGCUCACCAAGGCGACGAUCCGUAGCUGGUCUGAGAGGAUGAUCAGCCACACUGGGACUGAGACACGGCCCAGACUCCGACGGGAGGCAGCAGUGGGGAAUAUUGGACAAUGGGCGCAAGCCUGAUCCAGCCAUGCCGCGUGGGUGAAGAAGGCCCUAGGGUUGUAAAGCCCUUUCGGCGGGGAAGAUAAUGACGGUACCCGCAGAAGAAGCCCCGGCUAACUUCGUGCCAGCCGCCGCAGUAAAAC
rnacentral:rRNA from 1 species